GCCCUGGUAGUGUAGUGGCCUAUCAUGAAGCCCUGUCGAGGCUUCGACCCGGGUUCAAAGACGGCGUCGGGUUAACCGAUCCGCUGAAAUUCCCGGCCAGGGCG
rnacentral:tRNA from 1 species